AGCAGGAGAAGCGCAUCCCAUGGCUGGCGAGGUUUGACGAAACGGUUUAAAUGCAGCGGACCUGGCAACCCGCCCCGCCGCCGCAGGUACAGGUGUGCGCGGCGACAGAAUGAAACCGUCCCGGCGUCCCGUGACUGUGACGUCAGGCCGUGCUUGCGGCAGCCUCGGGAGACCGAGACCAUGUCGCUCCUGCGCCUGCUGUGCUCCUGCUGCUGUCCCCAAGGUCCCGCGGAUCCCGGUGAGAGGGAACGUCUCCUGCAGAACACGCCAGAGUCUGCCAGGCAGUUCCGGCCGUCGGCAAACGACGGCCACGGGCGGACUGGCAGGUUCACGGCGCGGCACGUGGGUGUGGCUGAACUUGACCAACGCUUCGAGGACGCGGCCGAGACGUUCAACCUGCAGCAGGGUCACCAUGAGGCCAUGACGGAGCACCUGAAUGCGCUCAGGGACAGCUACAACUGUCCCCGUGAUGCCAGCCUGUCAGAGUGCAUAAGGAGAAUCAAGGACGAGCAUAAUGCAUCUAACGUCAUUCUUUACAUGAGGGGUUACGAGUUCUCCCUGGUGGUGGGGUCCGGUGGAGAGGUGCCUGUUAAGCUGAAGGCAGCGCAGGAGAGAGUCAAAGCCCUGUGCCAGGCUACAAAGGCUGUGGUCGCAGCAGGUACCAAGCUCCAGCAGAUGAUUGGCUGGCUGCUCCAGAGCGAGCAUCAGCUGACCCGCCAGGUGCUGGACGUGGCGCCCGCAUACCAGGAGAAGCGCAGGCUGGAAGACAACCUGAAGGAGAACCUCCAGGAGUCCCGGCGGGCGAACGAGCAUUCGUCCCGCUACAGAGAGGAGGCUGGGAAAUUGCUGAACGAGGCUGCCCUGCUGUCAGGGGUCAACCCCUGAGGUCACAUUUACAUAAUACUCUCCAGAUCAUCUUUAUUAGACCUUUAAGGUUGGUUAAUGGCCACUAUUAUCUCAUAAGCUUGACAAUGUGCCAUCACUGGUGAAAUAUUUGCACCGUGAGAACCGCAAGAAUUUGAUGGAUGUACAGUACUGUGCAACAGUUUUGCAACAUGCCCGUCACAAAGUCUCAGGUUCGAACCCCACUUACUACCAUUGCGUCACUGAGGGAGACAUUUAACCCUGAGUGUCUCCAGGGGGACUGUCCCUGUCACUACUGACUGAAAGGUGCUCUGGAUAAGGGCAUCUGAUAAAUGCCGUAAAUGUAAAUGUAAGUCAUAUAGUACACUACCUAAAAAUUAAAUUUACAUUUUACAUAUAUACUAAAAAGUUAACAGACCCACCGUGAACGUUGUAGUCUGCAAGGGUAUUUUGAUUACAGGGAUUUUUCACUGCAUAUGAUGAAAACGAUUUUCUAAAAUUAAUUGUCUUAAAGUGUGAUUUUACAUAAUAUCGGUUUACUGUGAAUAAAAUAUUCUUGCCAUGUAUUCGUGCUUUACCA
rnacentral:lncRNA from 1 species